rnacentral:rRNA from 1 species
ACUCCUACGGGAGGCAGCAGUGGGGAAUAUUGCACAAUGGGCGCAAGCCUGAUGCAGCCAUGCCGCGUGUAUGAAGAAGGCCUUCGGGUUGUAAAGUACUUUCAGCAGUGAGGAAGGUGGAUAUGUUAAUAGCAUAUUCAUUUGACGUUAGCUGCAGAAGAAGCACCGGCUAACUCCGUGCCAGCAGCCGCGGUAAUACGGAGGGUGCGAGCGUUAAUCGGAAUUACUGGGCGUAAAGCGCAUGCAGGUGGUUUGUUAAGUCAGAUGUGAAAGCCCGGGGCUCAACCUCGGAAUUGCAUUUGAAACUGGCAAACUAGAGUACUGUAGAGGGGGGUAGAAUUUCAGGUGUAGCGGUGAAAUGCGUAGAGAUCUGAAGGAAUACCGGUGGCGAAGGCGGCCCCCUGGACAGAUACUGACACUCAGAUGCGAAAGCGUGGGGAGCAAAACAGGAUUAGAUACCCCGGUAGGCUCU